AUUGAACGCUGGCGGAAUGCUUUACACAUGCAAGUCGAACGGCAGCACGGACUUCGGUCUGGUGGCGAGUGGCGAACGGGUGAGUAAUACAUCGGAACGUGCCCAGUCGUGGGGGAUAACGUAGCGAAAGCUACGCUAAUACCGCAUACGAUCUAAGGAUGAAAGCGGGGGAUCGCAAGACCUCGCGCGAUUGGAGCGGCCGAUGGCAGAUUAGGUAGUUGGUAGGGUAAAGGCCUACCAAGCCGACGAUCUGUAGCUGGUCUGAGAGGAUGAUCAGCCACACUGGGACUGAGACACGGCCCAGACUCCUACGGGAGGCAGCAGUGGGGAAUUUUGGACAAUGGGCGCAAGCCUGAUCCAGCCAUGCCGCGUGCAGGAUGAAGGCCUUCGGGUUGUAAACUGCUUUUGUACGGAACGAAAAGGUUUGACUUAAUACGUUGGACUCAUGACGGUACCGUAAGAAUAAGCACCGGCUAACUACGUGCCAGCAGCCGCAGUAA
rnacentral:rRNA from 1 species